GUGGGGAAUAUUGGGCAAUGGGCGCAAGCCUGACCCAGCAACGCCGCGUGAGGGAAGAAGGCUUUCGGGUUGUAAACCUCUGUCCUUGGUGACGAAACAAAUGACGGUAGCCAAGGAGGAAGCCCCGGCUAACUACGUGCCAGCAGCCGCGGUAAUACGUAGGGGGCGAGCGUUGUCCGGAAUUACUGGGCGUAAAGGGUGCGUAGGUGGCCUUUUAAGUUGGAUGUGAAGUACCCGGGCUUAACUUGGGGGGUGCAUCCAAAACUGGGAGGCUGGAGUGCAGGAGAGGAAAGCGGAAUUCCUAGUGUAGCGGUGAAAUGCGUAGAUAUUAGGAGGAACACCAGUGGCGAAGGCGGCUUUCUGGACUGUAACUGACACUGAGGCACGAAAGCGUGGGGAGCAAACAGGAUUAGAAACCCGAGUAGUCC
rnacentral:rRNA from 1 species